UACGGGGGGGGCAAGCGUUGUUCGGAAUUACUGGGCGUAAAGGGCGCGUAGGCGGUUGGAUAAGUCAGCUGUGAAAACCACGGGCUUAACUCGUGGCCUGCAGUUGAGACUGUCUGGCUUGGAGUGUGGGAGAGGAGAGUGGAAUUCCUGGUGUAGCGGGUGAAAUGCGUAGAUAUCAGGAGGAACCACCGGGUGGCGAAGGCGGCUCUCUGGACCACAACUGACGCUGAGGCGCGAAAGCUAGGGGAGCAAACAGG
rnacentral:rRNA from 1 species